rnacentral:misc_RNA from 1 species
CGACGAAGCUCGGCCGCUCAAGUGAAGCAGGUGUUCACCAAAAUGUUCAACCCGAACAAACAGACAAACAGACAGAGCUCUAUGUGAUGUACCUUAUUUAUAUUAUGAAUUCCCUUCCAGUCUGCAAGAAAUAGGUAGAAUUUUGUUUGAACCACCGUAUCACUAGGUGUGUAAACCUACUAUGAAUCAUUUGGAUUGACUUUACAUAUGUACUUUUAUUUAGACAUCUAAUCCUAAGAUUACCACAAUCUGCCUAUCCUGUAUGCACUUUGAACAUUAUGAUAUUCCUGUUCCAGAUGUAAACCAGGUGUCACGUGAAUGACGGCCCUAUUGACGCUCAGUGACGCGACACCGAUUUCACGCGUCAUUUAUAUUAAAUUCAUUACACUGUG